rnacentral:lncRNA from 1 species
AGCCCAGAGGGAAGGAGCCCAGAGGAAACACUGCACUUUGGAGUCCAGAGGAAAGAUGAGUAAUGUGCUAGAUGUGCCUGUGACUUGGCUUUGACCAUACAGCCGAGGACUGUGGAGCAGUAAGGUGGAGGGAACUGAGGUUCUGGGAUGACCACGUGAAGCAAAGCUGCUCACCCACUCAGGACUGUUACAUCAGAGAGAAAAUAUAAGCUUUUUAAAGCCAAAGCUUCUUGGGAGUCUUUUUAUUACCGUGGCUUAACCUUUCCUCUAACUAAUUCAAAAGCCAAUUCCAAAACAAACCAACCAAUCAGCAGAAAAUCAGAAUGUUGAAAGUGACAUAUUCCAACUGAUGACAAAAGCCUGCAGGAUCAGAAACUUUUGGUCCCAUGUGCAAUAUGCAGUGUUCAUGGCUUCCUACCUGGAGAAAGUUAAGUUUUAUUGUGUUCAAGGAGGUUGAGAGUAUAUAUUUGAUGUCCCAAGAUUGAGGAAGUGGUCCAGCAGGAAGACUGCAUUGAGUUACCAACUUGGGUGAAAAAGAUCAAGGUGAAGAUUUUAUUCCACAAAGUAUAAGGGGCCAGUAGGUCUUUACAGAAUAGAUAGGCUCAGGCCCAAGUAUGGUGGAUUAAGACUGACCUGAGAGAACACGAUAUCAGCACAUCCAUUGAUGGGAAGGAAGGACGUUGACCCAAUAGGCCAUUGGCUUUGUGGAACAACAGUCUUGAAAACCCUUGGAGAAGAUAGGUGCAGCCAACUCUGGAGGACUGCCUGAAAGGGAGCAGAGCCUGUAGAGGAGGCAUGGAGCCUCUGGAUGAAGGGCCGGUGCAACAUUCAGAGUUCAGUAUUGAUCGUGUUUGUGAUUUAAACACUCAGAGACCAAGGAAUUGACCACUUUGAUGUGGAUUGAUGGUUUCCUGAUGCUUUAUGACAGGGUACUUCUAGGAGUCUCCAAGAUGGCUUGUGUGAACACGUGUCAGACCAGGUUAUUGGAGGCCACCGUGCUGUCACCUUCCUCUGCCAAGUCCAGGCCCACUGUGGGGACCGCUGUCCAGGCUUAGAAACUCCGGUAUGAACACUGGUGGGCGGGCACUCUCCCGUAGCUGCCCUUGGCCACAAUGGAGAUCUCCCCUGGCCCUCUCCCAGACUGAGUCACCUGUACUACACAGUUUGCCCUGUUUGACACAACUGCCAGCCAAACCUGAGAUCCUCCUGGGUCACUGGCCAUGCCCAGGAGAGGCCUCGAGGAGCCAAUCUUUGCAGCCCAGCCACAGAUGCUCUUGGCCAUCAAGGAGCUUUACUGAGCCCUGUCAGGGGACAGGAGGAUUCACUUCCCUCAGCUCCCCUCUGUGAGACACCUAUAGUAAGGCUACAGAUUUCAAAGGGACGCCAAAUUUGGUUGUUUCCACCAGCGAAACCCAUUUUUGCCCUAGGGCCCACAUAGAUCAUCAGCAUAGUGAUGUCAGCAGCACCCUUCAGGCCCAGGGGCAGAAAACUGCUGGUUGUGACAUCCUUCCUCUUCUCCUCCCCUUUAAAGACCCUGCCUUCCUUUUUCAUAAUUGGCUCAAAUCACUCUCCUCCCACUCUGAUCUCACAUUCAUUAAUUCAUCUGGUCAACAUCAAAUAUUCAUUAUGCACCAAUUAUCUGUAAAACGGGGAUAGGAAUAAUGAUAUUUCAUUGUCUUGGUUUCGGUCUUCGUGCAAGCAGACUUGAGACAAGGGCUUGGUUGCAGGCUUUUUAUUCGGGAGGUGAUCCCAGGAAGCAGGAGUGAGGGAGCAGGAAGAUUGAGCAGGGAAGGAGGAAAACAGUAACCUAAGGGUGUGCUAUUGGUUACUGCUGCUGGCAGUGGGAGCCCAAGUGCAUUGGCACAUCUGAGAAGCACACAGAAGCAUCCCAGGAUUGUCCUCCUGAAGGAAGGGAGGCAAGAGCAUUUAUCCAUAGCUCCUAGCCCCCUUGGUAGAUAGUUGCCUUGGGACAGGGAGUGAGAGGUUGGGGGUUACCUGCCCUGACCUUUAGAGGGCUGAGCUGAUUUCUGCAGCUUUAGCAAGUCUUUAAGGCAGAGAGGAGCAAGCCAUGGGCACAUGCCUAAGUGGCACUGUCCAAGGAAGAAGCUCCUCCUUGCAGUUGGACUGAAGUCAAGAGUGGGAUGAGGGGCCGUGAUACAGCACGGAAAACAUACACUACACUUUCUCAUGAAGUAGUUACCAUUAACUGAGUUAAUUUAUGUAAAACACCUAGAACAAUACCUGCCCCCAAUAAGGCUAUAUGUGUGUGUUUGCUGCUAUUAUUUGUGUGACUAUUACAUGUGCCUGGUGCUUCUCCAGGCUCUGUAGGUAACACUCUCAUGAGACUUACUUUCAGCUCACAAAACAUGCCUUGUUUAUGUGUCAAAGCUCUGAUUCUUGAUACUGUCCAAGUUCUUUUGCCAGGAGAUUCUCAGCCCCCAUGUUUGGGGAUGGCCAGGGGACAUGGCCCCACUUGACUGCCUGCCUUGCCAGUAUCUCUGAUCCAUUUUGGAGGCCUGCCCUGCCAUGCUCUGCUUCCCAGGAUCCUGAACAAGGAUUUGAGAACUAAGGUUUGAAUUCUGCAUAUGAAACAGUCAAACUCAAGUUGUCCAUCUGCUGGGAAAAGAAAAUAGCUUCAGAGCAAAGUCACUUGCCUUUUAAUAAUUGAUGGAUAAAAGAUUGCAGCAUGUGCAAAAACACACUUUCCAGAUCUGCCACUAAGAACGGUUCGGGCAGAAGAAACUGCUCUUUCCAUUGCCCCAGAGGCCAGGCCUGCCCUCAGCUAAUCUGGUGACCUAAUCCUUUCACAUGGGGGAGGACCAGAGCAUUUGCAUACAAGCAAUGAAUGCAUCUUUCCACCAGAGGCUUCCAGAGGCAAGUCCAAUCUAGUUAGUGCUUAUCUGUCCAAGCUGGCUGACCUUCUCCCAGUGCACAGUCCAGUCCCAAGUCCUCCCACCCCUGCCUUGUUCCCAGAACGAGUCUUGACUAUUCUAGCCUCAUACCUCGUCCCUAAGUUGCAACACUUGAUAUGGCUCCUUGAGGACUGCCUUGGCCAUCUCCUUGUUGCCGCUCCCACUGACUGCUUGGGUUUCAGCAGUUCACGGCUUCACGAGGCAACCCCUCCCUCUUGGUUCUAUGAUAACAUAACCGGUCACAGGCCUUUUGCCCAGCCCAGGCACUGAGGGACUGGGACCUGCCCUGGCCCCAUCUUGGCUUUCACAAAUGGGAGCUGGUGAGGUCUCACCCAGGUGAAACCCGGAAUUCACUUUCCUUUCAAAUGUUAAUAUGUUGCUGUGAAAACAUGCCUUUAUCAGUCCAGAAUCCUGUGUCUGUAAUCUCAAUAUCUAAAAGCUCUGAAAGCCAAAAGUUGGUUAUAAUCUGCAUGGUAGCAAAAUCUAACAGGGUUAAUUUCAUUUUCCAGAAUUAUCUGACCUGCACUAAGUGGAGGCUAUCUAUUGCCUUUAUUGAUCUCAUUUGGUGUGAAUACGCAUACAUGCUGCUGGAGAAAUAUUAAUGUCAUUGAUUACGAGGUGUCCCAGAGCUCACUGGGGUGUUGAUGUAUGAAGUGGUAUGUGCACCAAACUGCCUUUCUAAAAUACAUUCUGAAUUCUGAAACAUACCUGGCCCCAAGAUUUUGGAUGAGGAAUUUAGGCCUGUAUUAAAAUUAACCCAGGGAGGGUUAGGGCCUGGGAGAAGUGACCAUGAGUGGCCAUUGUUAUCUAAAGCUAAUGCAGGGAGCCAGGGGCAGCAGUGGCCUGAGUUAAAUAUCACUGGAUCCUUUAGUAUAAUUACAGAGUCAGGACUUAAGGAGAGUCAUUGACAUCCCUUUCAUCAAAAAGAAAAGAAAGAAUUGCUCCCUGUAAUCCAUACCCAUUAAUUCAGCAUCUCCCCUAGAUAGCUGAAACCCCUUCAGAAAGACUGGAAUAUUUUCUAGAUAAUAAAUCUGGGUCUUUAUCUUUCCCUUUUCUUCUUUCCCCUCUUCCCUUUGCCCCAUCCCUGAACUUCCCCCUCUUCUUGUGUUUUUGUCCAUAAAAGAGCAGCUUCUGUCAUUCAUGUGACAAUGAGCCUCCUUAGGUAAUUAAAGGGGAGUCUGCAGCCUGAACUACAAGUGAGAGGUCAUCUUUUUCAGCUUAUAGUCCUACCUCUACUGGGAGUGUGAUUCUGGGGACAAGAAGGAAGAAACGGUGCCAAAGCGCAUGGAUGGCCAAUUGUGCGCCUGGCUCUUCCAUGUGGAGUAGGCAGUGGGGCUGCUUGGAGCACACUUAGUGUUUGCCCUCCAGAUUUUUCCAGUCUCCUCAUAGAUGACCCAUGCCUGAUCUAGAAUAGGGAGGCAGGGUUUUAGAUUUAACUAGAAGUCUUCAUUUGUAUUCUUCCCAGAAGCAGACCCUGAGAUGAGGGUUCUGGGAAAUAAGGAGAACAGCAGUUGGGAAGAGGAGAACAAAGCCAGGGGAUGACUAGAGCUUAAUCCUUUGGGGAAACUCUGGGUAACAGCACAGAACACACCUCAGAGUUAUCUUCCUAAGGUGCCAGAUGAGGGAGUUGAGGUAUUUAUACACCCUCUCCUGAGACUCAUGGGUUGAGGGCUGCUGGAGGCUGCGAUGACAAUGCCCUGACACAUGGGCCUGCUUCCUGGGGGCAAAAGCCUCAGGCACAGACAUACAUACACUGGGGUUUGAAGUUGAUUGUUACAUACUGUAAUAGUAACAUCCAAGCAAUACUAGCAGGGCACUGACAGCAUCUAAUACAGUUUUUUUUUUUUUCACUAAAAUGCAAAGGAAUGUUUGCAUUUCUUUAUCAGAAGAAGGAAAAGAAUGCCAGUCUUCCCAUUUUGAUGGUUGUGCCCACAAGAACCAGCAGAGCCUGGAAGGACAAUAUGCUUGGUAGUGGGAUCAUUUGGGGCUAGUGAGGGGGCAGGGUCUCGGGAAAAAGGGCACGGUGCCUGGUGAAGGGAGUCAUUCUGGGGGUGCUGCAGUGAUGAUGCUAGUGGCAGCUGUGCCCUUGGCAAUGGGAGUGGGGGUCUGCUACUGCAGUGAACCCUGAAAGCAGUAGGGAGGUGCUUCUUUAUAUCCCUUAGAGACUUCAGCAAAAAAUAUCCUUGAAUAAGGCUAGGGUAGGCAAGGGAAAAAUGGCAGGCACAGCAGUGGACUCAGCUUGAUUGUGAAGCCCUUUCUUAGGCUCUGUAUGGGGCUGGAAAUACCACAUGUGUCCUGUUUGGUGGGGAGGGGUCCUGUUGGGUGGAUAAGUGAUGCUCAGAGCAUUUCUAGGGCAGGAGUUGUCAAACUUUUUCCUGCUAAAUAUUAUAGGCUUUAGGGGUACUACUGUCUCUGUUGUAACUACUCAGCUUCCCUAUUGUAUAUCAAGAAAUGGUCACAGACAAUAUGUAAGGAAUGCGUAUGGCUGUGUUCCAUCACAACUUUAUUUAUGGAUGCUGAAAUCAGAAUUUUAUAUAAUUUUCAUGUGUCACAAAUUUUUUUUUCUGAUUUUGUCCAUUCAUUAAAAAAUGCAAAACCUAUUUUUACCUUGUGAGCCACACUGAAACAGGCUGUAGGCUGAAUUGGGCCCGUGAACUGUAUUUGCAGACCCUUGUUCUAGGGCUUCUCUCUGACUUGGGCUCCAGGGUUAAGGGCAGAUUUCCAACCGAUUCUUGACAGCGUAGGAGGGGCAAACCUCCUCCUCACUCCAGUGAGAUAAGUGACUCAUCCAAUAAUGGCAAAGACUCAAAAGCAAGGAGAUAGAACCUCAUGUAUGCGUGGACAUUUAACUGGCUCCGGUGAAGGCUUGAAGCCCUAUUUGCUAAGCUUCUGCUCAUUUGCUGCUCCAGAAAGUGACAGCCUGCAUGACCAGUCCACAGCCUGUUACUUUGGGGAUUUUACAGGGUUCAUAGAGUAAAGAGGAGACUUUGGGUAAAUACAGAUCAAAUAUUUGGGUGACACUGGUAGAGUGAAAAGGUAGACUUUUAAGCCACAUCGCCUUGCACGCAGCUUCCAGCUCUGCCAUUUACAGCCUAGUAAUCUGAAUCAAGACACUUAAUUACUCUGGGUCUCAGUUUCCUCAUCCAUAAAAUGAGGAGCAAUAAUAACCCCCCUUUUAGGCUUAUUAUGAGGAUAAAGUAAGACAAUACGUGAAAUGACCUUGGAUCAAGCUCAGCUUGGCAUCUCAUCUUUACUUAAUGGAUGGUUUUAAAAUUAUUUUUAAUGCCAACUUCACAAAGUUGUGAUAGAAAUUAAAUGAGAUAAAUGUGUAAAGGGCUCAGGGACAUAGUAUGUGUUAAGAAAAUUAUUGCUACUAUUAAAAAUAUGAUGGAGAAAAAAAGGUUAGGUAUUUCUCCAUCUUCUCUUUGGGAUGAUGGCUCUCAAGAGGUGGGAAGAGGAGGACAAUGGCACCUGCAUAAUUUUGAUUGCAGGAUAUUUGUAUUCUUUCCCUUUCUGAAGUUCCUGAAUAGCAAAUGUUUUUGACAGCAAUUGGGUCUGGAUGCCACGUUUUGAAGCCCAACUAACAAACAAGAGAUUAUGAGACUGCAGUUAUCUUUUACCAGCUGCGUGGAAAAAUCCUGUCAUUUGGCAUCACACAACUAUGAAUUCUUUUAUCUCUUUCUCCCUUCUUAUGUGCUCCUGGAGCAUAUGUAAGCAAGCUCUGACAUUGAUAACACAUUCUUAUUAACCAUUAUCUGAAAGAUGGGAUGCCAACUUAGGAGUUUUGCAUUGCAUAUCAGAUGGAAAUUUCCAUUGGGGAAUGGAAUGUUAUCCACUCCUGGCCAAUGACAUCCCAAGGCUGAAGUUACCUUCUACAUACACCAUAGUCUGAGGUCAUGAAUUGGCUAGAUUUCUGCCCAAAUCUUUGCCUACUCCUUCAGAAGGAAAUGGAAUAUGAGGCAACUAUGGGCACUUAGAGGGAACAGAAAGUUGAUUUUCUGUCAUAUAAACGUUAGCUUCUUAGGCAGUGUAGAUGGAGCAGGUGACUGGAGCCAGAGGGAUGGGGUUGUGCUUGUAGAAAGGCCAAAUGAACAGGCUGAGUGGAGACCCUGUGGGGGCCCCUGAGAUGCACCCUUUAAUAUUCAUCCCACUCCAUGUGGUCAGUCUAAGCACAUCAUGUAAUUCCCAUUUUCCUUGACAGAAAUUGGUUAAGUAAAGGGCAUGUUAUCCACUCCUGGCCAAUGAGAUGAGGAAAAGCCUACAGUACGUGUGUGUGUGUUGGUUGGGGGGCAGUCUGGGGAAAGUUUAUCUUCUGUGAAGAAGGAACUCAGAGAGAGAGUGCCUUUUCGCCCUGUGGACUUUGCCAUGAGCGCCUGGUGCUAAGGUGUCAUCCUGCUAUCAUCCCUCUGAGAGACCAGCAUCAAGUAUUCCUGAAAGGCAAGAGGGAUGGUUCCUGGAUCCCUAAGGACAGCAUUGCCUGGCAGCUGAUCUCUACUUGCCUUCAAAUUAUAAUAUCUCUGUGCUUGCUCAUUGUUGAAGUCAGUUUGAGUUGGAACUCUGUUCCUUGUAACCAGAAGGAUCCUAUCUGGGGGCCACAUUUUUGACAUUGGAAUAUCACCAAGGUGAGAAAUAAGGGAAGGGUGUGCACUAGGCAUUUAGAAGAGGGGAGCGGCUGGGCACUUUUAAUGGGUUAGUGUGAAACAUACCUUGUACUCUAUCUGGAGCAUCCUAUAUUAAUUAACUAACUUAUUAAUGAGCCUGUAUAAGGCACCUACUACAUGGUCAGCAUAGGGACAGGUCUUUCUGAGAAUAAAAGAGUCAUAUAAAACAUCAUUCUAGUUGUCAAGCAUCAUAAAAUUUAGUUGGUGGAGACAAGACUAGAAAUAAAACAAAAUAAGUGGUUUAGAGAAGGGCGUGAUGAGUGAGUGCUAGAGUAGGUAAAAGCUUCGUGGGAGAUGGAGAAAGCUAAGCUGGGCCUUAAUCAGCAGAAAGAAUAAAGGUGAGGACAUAGAGACGUUAAGUCACAUGCUCCAACACAGCCAGAAAGUGGCAGAGCUGGGGUUCAAACCCAGUAUGUCUGACUCCUUCCAACCCUGGGCAUGUAACUACUAUGCUGGAGCAUACUUAUGCUCCCAAUGUGUAUUUGUAAGCCUGGAAUGCUCAUAUAUUAAUUUAUAAUGAGAAAUAGAACUGGAAAACAUUAUGAAUUCAAAAUCUGUGAAGCCAAGUUAUAUUCAGAAGGUUCCCAAGGCAGCUUGAAGCUGAUUAACAGACAGGAUAUCCCUGACACCAGGAUGGAGGCAUGUGUCUUGAAGGGCUAGUCCUUCUCUUCCUGGCUAGGUACUGGUAAGAGAAUGGCCAGUUUUGGAGUCUUGGGGCUCCCAUUUAAAUGCUCCAGGCUGUUCCUAAAGUCCUUCUUCAGUCAUGGUGUAAGUCAACUGGUCAGGCCUCUAGGUGUUCAUUAUGUUCACAUUUAAUUCAGUGGUGUACUAGCAAGUGUUUAACAAAUGGCUCUCUGGGGCACUGGGGGAAGCCCUAAUUUGUAACAUUCACCAAGUCAAGUUCCAUGGUGUAAAUACUCCCUCCAAGACUAUUUCAAGCUACCAGCAGGAAGAGAUGCACACAAUCAAUGGCUCUUGAGUGCUGGUACCGGCAGGCUCCAGCACACCACUGUGCUCACAUUGCAUCCUGCCUCUCAGAGCCUUCCCAGAUGCCUUGAUGGGAAUUAUGGAAUGUUCUCAGACUUUUGUAGAACAUUUACCAAAUUAGUCACAGCCAUGUGUGUGAACUUUUUCAGUUUAAUUAUUGGAAAAUGGCCUCACUUCCAAAUUCUUGGAGAACACUGUUUUUACCUUCAUGUACCGUCAACUAAUAGAGCUGUAAGGUGGCCAAAGAAACCAAAGAUGGAUUUCCUUUCUGUAUUGCCUAAAGUCCAGAGUUCUGUUAAAAAUUACUGUCAAGAGUGAGGCUUGGGGUCUGUGCUGCACUGAGUAAUACCAUGGGUAGCAAUAGAUAAAUUGGCACAGAAGAAUCUUCUACAGCACCACCGCCAUUCACCCCCUGCCUCACUUUGCUGUCUUACCCAACAUUACAUGACAGAAAAAAGAAAUUGUGUUGCCUAGUAACAGCUCUGAGCAAGGGGAGACCAGUCAAUACAAUUCUGAAUUAAGGCAACAUCCACAAAAAAAUCCAUCUUGAGGAUUUAUACGAAAACCAAAGUGUAGUUAUAGUCUUACAAGCUGGUGGAGAAGUCCCAUUAGCUUUGGGUAUUGGAUUAUUUAGAAUAAUAUAUCUGAGAUAUAGAUUUCUUUUUCUGGGAAGAAUAAUCUACUCUGAGGCCAUGAAAAUCAAUAGGCCACUUUGAAGACUGACUUCAGCUGUUAUUGGUAAUGUUUUGGUUGUGUUUGUGAAUCAACAAUCAAGCAAAAAUAAGGCCAUUUAGUAGCUCACACUAAAGAGCACUACUUGUCAAUUUUGCAACGAAGCCUCUCCAUCCAUUGAAUGAAACAGCAUCUCCCAAGGGCUGCUGUGAGCCUAUGGAGACCCUGAAAGCUGACACCAGCACAAAGAAUUAAGGAUAAGUCUUCCAGGGUGGCCAGUCAUCCCAGCAUAUUGAGACUGAGGAGUUUCCCAGGAUGCUGGACUUUUAAUGCUAAAACUAGGAAACUCCUUGGCAAACUGGGACAGUUGGUCGCCCUGGAUCAGUGGUUCUCAACUGCAGAUGAUUUUGCCCCUCAGGUAGGGUUGCCAGAUAAAACAGAAGAUACUCUGUUAAGUUUGAUUUUCAGAUAGACAAUGAAUAAUUUUUCAGUAUAAGUAUGUCCCAACUACUACAAUGGGACACAUUUAGAGUUAAAAAGAAUUAUUCUUUGCUUGUCUAAAAUUCGAAUUUAACUAGGCUUUUAACAUUUUUUAAAAAAUUUUUUUUGUAAAACUGACAGUCUUACCCCCAGGAGAUAGUUGGUAAUGAUUGGAAGCCUCUUCGGUUUUCACAACCACAACUUCAUCAGGGAUGCUACUAGCAUCUAGUGAGUAGAGGCCAGGCAUGCUGCUAAACUUCCUAUAAGGCACCAAUGCAGACAACAGCUGCCUAAAACAAAGAAUUAUCUGGCCUGAAAUGUCAGUGGUGCAGAGGUUGGGAAAUCCUGCCGUAGACCUAAACAAGCUGGUGCCACGGAGCUCCAUCUUCCUUGAGAAAACACUAAAGGAUGGACGUGGGCUUCCCUGCUUCAUGCACACAGAUGGAAAAAUGUCACAUACAUUCCUGACCUUUAACACUUUCAGUCUGAUGCGUCAAACAGCCAUUGGGAGCUUAAGAAGUGUCUAGCAAAAUGGGACAAUUCCCCUUGCCGGACUCCCCCUUCCACACUUGGAAGGGUGAGGCAGUGUGUGUCAUCAAACAAUAGAGCAGAUAAAAGCUGAAUCAGGGUGGUCUCCAGGACACCCCCAUCUCCCCAGACUUCUAUGGUGACAUUUCUUGCACUCCUCAAGUUUGUUCAUGGCUUUGAAAACACAGUUUCAGAAUGUCUUCAUUGUUUCAUACGGUACUGGCCGCGCCUGGAGUUUUCCUGAAGGAAACUGUAGCAGCAGGAAUUUUGUGCAAUACUAUAAUAAGGGGGCUUUAUCCUUCCAAAAAUACAUCCUUUCUCCUUGUUGCCAGCUCUCCCACAGCCCUGUGAAAAAUGUAGCUCAGAAGUUACUGAGGCGUUUUUCUGUUUUUCCUUUCUCACUUUAGUUCAUAUCAAGCAACAGAAAGCAAUUCUAUUAUUCACACUUAGGCGUGCUAGCUUGAAUGAAUGAACAAAUCAAAUAUCAAUCCUUUUCUCAUUUCCCUAGUGUGUAAGAACUGAAAUGUAGAAAGUGGCAUCUGCUUAAAAGGAAUUGGUGAAUUUGACUUCUCUAGGUACCUUAUCCAAGUGGAAUGAGUGUUUAAUGGGCACAGAGUUUCAGUUGGGAAGAUCGAAACGUUCUGGUAGAUGGAUGUUGGUGAUGGUUGCACAACUAUGUGAUUAUACUUAAUGUCAUGGAACUGUACACUUAAAAAUGGUUAAAAUAGUAGAUUUUAUGUUAUGUAUAUUUAAUCACAGUUUAAAGAAAGGAAUUGGUGAUGCAUGUCUAUGCAUGUAAGUUUUGAUAUAUGCUUGCUGAUUGAUUAUUUAUCUAAGGUCUGUUUACAUAUUUUCCCCCAGUAAACUUGGUACUUGCCUCAUUGUCCUGUAUCCUUAUCCUUAAAUUAAUUGGACAAUGCCUCUUUCUUCUUCUCCCUCUUCUUAACUCCAGCAGUCACAUGAAGAUAGAAAUAUAUUUUGUCUUUGGAAGUUACUCUUUUUUAAUUUUUUAAUUUUUGUGGGUACAUACAUAGUAGGUGUAUAUAUCUAUGGGGUACAUAAAAUGCUUUGAAAUAGGUAUGCAAUGCAUAAUAAUUACAUCAUGGAAAAUGGGGUAUCCAUCCCCUCAAAUAUUUAUGUUUCAUGUUAUAAUCCAAUUAUACUCUGGAGUAUACGCUGAGUACUCCAAAUGUACUCAAUAGUACAAUUAAAUUACUACUGACUAUAAUCACCCUGUUGUACUACAAAAUACUAGGUCUUAUGCAUUAUUUCUAACUAAUGUUUUUGUACUCAUUUACCAUUCCCCCUCCCCUUCACAGUCCCCCAUUACCCUUCUCAGCCU